GGAGGGGUACCAAAGCGGCCAACUGGGGCGGACUGUAAAUCCGUUGCGAGAGCUUCGUAGGUUCGAAUCCUACCCCCUCCACCA
rnacentral:tRNA from 1 species